CAGAUGCUGAUGGCGUGUCCAGGGAUGUAUAUGCUGCCUUCUGGACAGAGUUUUUAGACUGUGCAGCAGAGGGUGCAGAUGUGAGGGUGCCAUCACUAUCCCCAAAAUGGCAAGAGGAAGAAUGGAAAUCUGUUGGUAGGAUAAUGGUCAAGGGAUUAAAGGACCAUGGAUAUUUUCCUUCUCGGCUGGCUCAAGCCUUUACAGCAGCAAUCACAUUUGGUGAACACACUGUCUCACCUGAUUUAUUGUUUGACUCACUAAUGUUGUAUCUUAGUCAGUCUGAGCGCGAUCUCUUGUCCACUGCUUUGCAAGACGCCCUUGAUGGUGAUGAUGAAGAUGAGCUUCUUGAUCUUAUGGAUCGCAUGGGAGUAAGAACAGUACCAACACAAGAGAACUUGAAAGCUGUGCUUCUCCAAGUGGCCCACAAGCAAAUAAUCCAGCAACCAAAAUAUGCACUGGAUAACAUUGCAGCAGUCGCAGGACCAACUCUCAGGGAGUUCUUCCCCAGUGUGCUGGAUAUGCAGAAGAUGUAUGAGGAUCUUAAACCAUCAACCCGAAAGGUAUUAAAGUUGAUCACGGCCUCUCCAGCUACUCCAGCAGAGAACCAAAGUUUGCGAUUUUUACAUCAGUACAUCAGGGGAUUGGAUGAGAUAGGCCUCCGGAAGAUGUUGAGAUUCGUGACAGGGUCUGAUGUCAUCUGCGUUAAAGACAUUCAAGUCAUAUUCACCCCUUUGGAAGGGUUAUCAAGGCGGCCUAUUGCACAUACUUGUGGCCCAACUUUAGAGCUGCCAUCAACUUACAACAGCUAUCCUGACCUCCGAGCUGAAAUGGAGGCUAUACUGUCCAGCAACUUCUAUGCAAUGGACAUUGCAUAGAAGUGUCUCACUCACUCACAUGUACACACUCUUCCCUCUUGCCCAGUUAUAGCCUUAUCAGUGCCAUCUGUUUACCUUUAGAUAGUGUGUGAAUGUGAGACAGAGCACAUAGGGGAAGUAAUUAACUCAGGUGGUGCAUUAUGAGCGCAGGGUGAUUUAUUUUUUAUUUUAUGUUUUUCAGUUUCAGUUUUAUCCA
rnacentral:lncRNA from 1 species